AAAUAAAAUGGUUUAGAAAAGAAAAUUUAUUAGUUAGAAAACAUAAGGCUAGGAGAACAAGAAAGAGAUGCAGCUAGAGAUUUUUGGAGAAGAAGGUUAAAGAAAAAUCAACAGGAUUUUGUAGCAAUUGAAAGAUUUAUUAGAGCUGCGCAACGGACGCUAGAAAUGAGUGACUUAGUGAUUGUGUUGUUUCCUUGUAGUUGUUUGGUUGAAAAAUGUUAAAGAUUUAUAUGCUUAAAUAUUCUUUUAGAUGGUAAGUGCCCUCCACAGCUUGGUCAGUUUAUAGCUAGUGCACCACUUACUCCUUUACUUAAACCUGGAGGGGGGAUUAGACCUAUUACAGUUUGUACUAUAUCGAGAAGACUAGAUUCCAAGGUUGUUGCAUCCCUUGUUAGUAAGGAUAUGACCACUUAUUUAAGUGAUUUCAAAUUUGACGUUGGUGUACUAUGUGGAGAUUUCAGUAAUAUUUUUAACCUCGUGGAAAGGUCUGCCAUGCUUCGGGAAGUGCGUCUUAAAUGCCCUAGUAUUUCUAAAUGGGUUGAAUUCUGUUAUGCUUCUCUUGCGAAACUAUAUUAUGGUGCUUCUACUCUUUUUUCUGCCAAGGCGUACAACAAGGGGACCCUUUAAGGCCUCUACUUUUCUCACUGAACUUGCAUCCUCUAGUUUUAAAGAUCUCUCAACAAUGUAAACUUGAUUUGCAGGCAUGGUACUUAGAUGAUGGUACCAUUAUAGGAGAUACCCAUGCAGGUUUCUAAGGCCUUUCAUAUUAUUAAGAAUGAAGGUGAGGCUGUUGGUCUCCGUCUUAACAUACAAAAAACUAUUAUUUUGGCCCUCUCUUGAUGUAAGAAGUCUGCAAAAGGAUAUUUUUCCCUAUGAUAUGGGUAGAUAUUCAAUAGGAGUUAAAUUACUUGGUGGUUCUGUGAGUCUAAAUGCUAAUUUUUGCAGUCAAUUGGUUCUUGACAGAGUACAUAAGACCAUUCAGUUGAUGACGACAGUAUGCAAACUUGAAAAUCCACAAAGCAAGUUGCUACUUUCCUGGAAUUGCACAUGUGUUUCUAAAUUCUACUUUUGCGAUGCGUAAUACUGCUCCUAGUUAUUUUAAAGACGCACAUGUAAUAUUCCACAAUUAUCUUAAUAAGUAUAUGAGGCAACUAGUGACUGGUGAUGGACCAGGUUUUGGGCCAUUACAACAAAUAUUAGUGUCUCUGCCAAUCAGAG